GGGGGAAUAUUGCACAAUGGGCGCAAGCCUGAUGCAGCAACGCCGCGUGAGGGAAGACGGUUUUCGGAUUGUAAACCUCUGUCAUUAGUGACGAAGAAGUGACGGUAGCUAAUGAGGAAGCCACGGCUAACUACGUGCCAGCAGCCGCGGUAAUACGGAGGAUGCGAGCGUUAUCCGGAUUUAUUGGGUUUAAAGGGUGCGUAGGCGGACUUUCAAGUCAGCGGUAAAAUUUCCGGGCUUAACCUGGUUGUGCCGUUGAAACUGAGAGACUGGAGUGCGCUUGAGGUAGGCGGAAUGCGUUGUGUAGCGGUGAAAUGCAUAGAUAUGACGCAGAACUCCGAUUGCGAAGGCAGCUUUCCAGCACGCCACUGACGCUGAGGCACGAAAGCGUGGGGAUCGAACAGGAUUAGAUACCCUGGUAGU
rnacentral:rRNA from 1 species